AGAGUUUGAUCAUGGCUCAGAACGAACGUUGGCGGCGUGGAUUAGGCAUGCAAGUCGGGGGAAUCCCAGCAAUGGGGGAACCGGCGUAAGGGGCAGUAAGGCAUGGGUACCUACCCUGGGGUUCGGGAUAGCCAUCAGAGAUGGUGGGUAAUACCGGAUGAUGUCGUGAGACCAAAGAUUUAUCGCCCUUGGAGGGGCCCAUGUGAUAUUAGCUUGUUGGUGAGGUAAUGGCUCACCAAGGCAAAGAUGUCUAGCGGGUGUGAGAGCACGACCCGCGCCACUCGCACUGAGACACUGGCGAGACACCUACGGGUGGCUGCAGUCGAGGAUCUUCGGCAAUGAGCGCAAGCUUGACCGAGCGACGCCGCGUGCGCGAUGAAGGCCUUCGGGUUGUAAAGCGCUGUCGAGGGGGAGAAAAGAGAAAUCUUGAUCUAUCCCUGGAGGAAGCACGGGCUAAGUUCGUGCCAGCAGCCGCGGUAAGACGAACCGUGCGAACGUUGUUCGGAAUCACUGGGCUUAAAGGGCGCGUAGGCGGGCUGUCAAGUCUGGGGUGAAAUCCCGCGGCUCAACCGUGGAACUGCCUUAGAUACUGACGGCCUCGAGGGAGGUAGGGGCGAGCGGAACUGUGAGUGGAGCGGUGAAAUGCGUUGAUAUUCACAGGAACUCCGGUGGCGAAGGCGGCUCGCUGGCCCUCUUCUGACGCUGAGGCGCGAAAGCUAGGGGAGCAGACGGGAUUAGAUACCCCGGUAGUCCUAGCCCUAAACGUUGAGUACUGGGUAGUAGACUAGACAUGGGUUUACUGCCGAAGCAAAAGUGCUAAGUACUCCGCCUGGGGAGUAUGGUCGCAAGGCUGAACUCAAGGAAUUGACAGGGGCUCACACAAGCGGUGGAGCAUGUGGCUUAAUUCGAGGCUACGCGAAGAACCUUAUCCUGGACUUGACAUGUGCGAAAGCG
rnacentral:rRNA from 1 species